rnacentral:misc_RNA from 1 species
CCACCUUCAUUGCCCUUUGUCCAAACAUUAUAGUACUUGCUGUCUCUCCUCGAUGACGUGGGGAUGGACCAAUAGUAAUAACCAGUGAAGUUCUUGCUGUCCCUGUUAAAAUUUCAAGAAUUCAAACACCAAGAAAAAAAUACUGCCUCACUUUUGUAAAUUCAUUUGCUCAGAUGCCAUUUCAUAAUAACAAAGCCAGAUAACAGAAACAUAUUUUGUAAAAGGCACUGCUAAAAAUUGCCAAGCAUGGAAACUUUACAAAUUGUUGCUCUCUGCAUUUCUACUUUUAUAUGAAACCAACACAUAUUGUAGACAUGAUUGCCUAAAGACAAUGAUUAUAUAUCCAAUAUAUAGCCCUUUAAUUCAAUGAAAGUGCCUAUAAUCCAAUCACCCAUUUUCAUGUCCUUUAAAAAGGCCUAUAAUACAAUCACCCAUUUUCAUGUCCUUUAAAAAGGCCUAUAAUA